GCGCUCCCUUCCUGGUCACACUUCAGUUACGGACACUGAAGAGCUGCAGUCAUCAACACAAUGAUGAACUUCACUAUGAGAACAGCUUUACUGCUCUGCAGCCUCAGCUGGAUCUCUGUCUCAGUGUCUGAGUCUCAGACUGUGAAGGCUCAGUCUGGUCAAGAAGUCAAACUGCUGUGCCCAAAGACAAUCAAAGAUCCAGCUGUGACUUUCUGGCUCAGAGUGGUCAACAGGAUCAAUAUGAGCUGUAUCUCAGUUAUGUCCGGGUCUGACAGUAAAGCUGAAUACUGCGAUGGAUAUGAAGCUGGAAAUUUUCAAAUGAGAUCCAACAGCUCUACUGUCUAUCUCAAAAUCAAACAAGUGAAUGUAUCUGACUCUGGACAGUAUUUCUGUGGAUUUUACACAAAUGGACGUGUAACUUUCACUGAGUCUCAGUAUUUAAAUCUUACCUCCAGUAAGAUUAUUGUAAAAUCUUUUCUGUCUUUUCAUUCCCAUUGUUCUGUCAUGUCUUUUUCUGCUUAUAUGAUAAAUAGAUUUUGACAGCAGGUAAGAAAUGGUUAUGAUGUACGUCUGCCAAAAUAAACUCAAGACUAAAAAUAUCUUCAUUUCUUUACAAGGCAAUGAUGAGCCACAUGAUGUCGAGGACAGCAAAUGUAAAGAAGAGAGUGGUGUGAUAAAGCUGACAUGUGUGAUCCUGCGUGGUCUGAGUGUUCUCCUUGUAAUGGUCAACACUGGUCUGCUUGUUCGAACCAGUAAACUUUAGACAGCUGAUAAAGAAGAACAGAAUCCACAGCAAAGUGAGACUCGUGUCUCUGAUGAUGUGAACUACGCAGCUGUGACUUUUCAAACAAAAACCAAGAGAAGAGAGCUGGAGACAAAUGUUGUUUAUGCUGCCACCAGAUAGACUCAGGAGGCAACUGGAACUGAUGCUGCAUCAUAUUACACAUUAUACAUUAUAUUAUGCUCUGGGCUUUGUACGGCUUGUUGGUGACAGGAAUAACUACUCUUAAAAUAAUAUAUGGAAGUUUGCAAUAAAGAGCUGAUGUUGAGC